GGCAGGACAGGAAUAAAGCAAGUGGCUCAAAAAGUUCUUGUGUAUUAAUUUCAGGUAUAUUUAUUUGCAGGAAUUGCCCUCUUUUAAUUUUUAUUUUUGGAGUGCAAAAAUCAGACAAUAACAUUACAAAAUGCUCUUAAACAUUAGCACUUUUUUCGUAAAUAACUGAGAGCUAUUAUUAUUGCUAAACUCAGGAUUGCUACUAUAGCCAAACAUAAACCCUGACUUUUUGACAGCCAAAGCAAAGAAUAAAAUAAGAAUGAAAAACUAGUCACUCAUCUGUGUUUAUGAUAUUAAAGUUAAAGGAAGCCUGUUAGUUAAUCAGGAGGGCACAUUUCUGUUUUUCUAGCUUGAGUAAUCUAACAUUACUUUAACAAAGGCUUAUUUACUAGACGGGACAUUAAAAGGAAAAAUGAGCAGUAUCUUUAAAAGUAGUUUUACAAAAAUUGCAGAAAUAUCUUCCUGUAGAUACAGUAAAUUCUUAUAUUGUUCCCAAUAAGCACCAAGAGCAGUGUGCAAAAGCCUAGUGAUCACAGGUAAUGGGACCGAGUAGUGACUACGUCCAGCACUACAAUAAGUGCUUUGCCUGCUUUGACUCAUUUGAUAUUUACAAAUAACUUAUGAUGUAAAGGUAGGAUUCAAAUGCAGGAAGUAUGCUCUGGAGCCCAUGUCUUGGGCAUUGCUACUAGAUGCUAAGGUGACCUAUGGAAUUCAAAUGCGUCACUUCCUGGUGCUGGGACUUGCUGCAGGGUCAGAAAUUAUUGAUGCUAGAGAAGUAAAUUGUUAGCACACACUACAGAUUCUUUUUCUAGAUUCUAGAAUUUCGAUGCUCUCAAAUACUUUUGUGAGAGUAGGCGCUAGCUGAAAAUUCAAGGGUAAACUUUCUGGUAUUCACCUAAAUUGCGUGUUUAAUUGGAUUUUCAAUUUAGAGUCAGAAGGCAUUGGUUCUGACUUUGGAAGACUUCUAGAGGCUCUUGAAGAGGGGCGUGUGUGUCAAGAAGGCUGUUUGGACAUCACACAGCUCUUAUGAAAGAGGGCUUUCCUAAAUUAAGUGUAAAUGAGGUAGAAACAUAAGGAUUACAUUUCUUUUGAAAGCAAGGAUUUAAAAAAGCAGAACAAUUAGUGCGGGAAGGGAUAUAUGCUACCCCAUAUGACUGGGUCAUGUCCCACUCCCGAGACAAAGUCUAUUUGAGUUCUCUUUUAGCUGUGGCAGAGGGAAGGCCUGCCAGGCUAAGUGAAAUUCCAGGACACAAAGCUGAUGAAAGUAGCAAAAGAGAAUCAUGAGCAAUAAAAUGAAAUUGUAAAAAUUUGGUAGGAAGCCUUAAGUGUCGUUAGAUAUCUACCUGCUAUGAAUGGAGUAAAGCUAUAUAAAUUGUGGGUGUGGGAACAGCCCUCUGGUUUCUGGCUGUUUUGGUGGUUGAAUGCCAACUCUGAGAAAAGCAGGCUAAGGUGGAAAGGGCAACUCUCCUCCUUAAAUAUCCCAAAUCCUCUUCCUUUGCUGUAGCACAUGGAAAAAUGUUCACAUUAUGCUGAACUACUUUUCUGUUUAUCCUCCAAAUUAGCUGUGAAUUCUUUCCUUCCAACUUUAAGUCUUCCUAGGCCUCUCAGUUCCGCUUGUCUUCUUGGAUUAGAUUCUCUUCAAGGCCAGGACCCCUGGAAUCUUAGCUUUAUUUCCGAGGUAAUUUCUGCCGGAAGGCAAAGUUUGGCACGUCAGCUUUUAAUAUACGCUGUGGCAGUUGGUGGAGGCAGGGAGGAGGGAAAGGGAGAGGAAGAAGAACACAAUUCUGCUAGCCUUGGAAAUUCAACUGGAACUUAUGUUAGUUACAUUUUUGAAACUUAUUUAUUAUCCAGACAUAUGACAAACUCCAGUGAAGCACUAAGACUUCAUACAGUAAACUUUGGAAGACGACCAAAACUCAAAAAACCCUCUUCAGCAGCAGGGACUCCAGAAUGUUCCCCUGAGACUUUGAGGCUUUUUCAGACAUUGAGCCGAGUUUGCAUCCGAGUCUGGAGUUGGUUUACAAGCAUACUGGAAAUAAAACUCAAUUGGGAGUGAGAAUCCAGGUGAACCGAAGUAAACGUGAACUCUUUGUGAACCAAAUACUACUGUACGCCUCUUCAAAGCCUACAGGCGCCUGAAAAUCUCCCAUAAAUCCAAGCUGCAUUGAAAGGAUUUGCUCCAAGCCUUCUACCAGUAGCUUGCAUCCACAUGCAUCAGAUUCAGCUGUCUCCUAAAUCUGCAAAGUGUUAUCUGCCUCACCGUGCACAAACUACUGUCCCAAACUGUAUUCAAUCCAGAUGGGAGGUUUUAUCACUUCCUGACUUCCCUUCCAUUGUAAGGAUGAAUAUUUUGAAACCAGGCAACUAGGAAAACCAUACCCCACUAAAUGGGAGCAUAUACUAUUUAGGGAAAACUUUCUAAUUGUCCCCCAGAAAAUGAAGAAAUUAUGCUCUUCUUGUACCCUGAUUGUACAAAAUGUUCAGCUCCCUGGGAUAUGCACCAGAUCACAUUCACAAGAGAACCUACCAUGGGUGUGUCCAGCGUCACGCACAAUUCUCAGUGAAACAGCUUAAUCUCCACACUUUUCUGUCUCACAAGCAAAUUAGGAUGCAAGUGAGGUUGAAAUUAUCACAGGAAUACAUGUUAUCCUAUUUUAAAAAAUAAUUUUCAAAUGCUGGCACUUCACUAUUAAUAACAACAAUUUACUUGUGACAGCUGAUAAGACACAUUGAUAUUUCAAUCCUGAUUCACUCAGACCACCACCACUCCUAUAAGUACCUCCAAUCAGGGAACUUGUCAAUCAUAAAGUGGAAGUUGGUUUAUGUUCUAUUUCCUCCUCAGGGACAGGGCCCAAGUCUUGAUCAUCACUUUACAUAAAUCAGUGCCCAGGCUAUUGCAGGGGUGCAAUAACACUUAUGUAAACCAAGGGAAAGGCACAUAAUAUGCCUAGAAUAUCUCUAGAAGGAUCCUCCAAGAAACUGCUAGCAGUGAUUGUCCCUCAACAGAGAAACUAGGGGUUGAGUGCAAGAAAAAAAUAAUGUGAAGACUGGGGGAAAAACUGCUCCAUGUAGCUUUUGUCCAGGAAGCCUGAUGUGUGUUUCUUAUGGCCUUCCCUCCCCUAUUUAACUUGGAUAAAGAUGGCCUCUUUUGAGAAAAUUCACUCACCAAAGCUCUAAUGCCCGAGCUUAUAAAAGGAGAGCUAUAUCACAAGUGGAAGAUGACAGAAGAAUGUUACUAAGAGCACCAGAGUUUCAAAGCUUCGUCCUUCCUCUGCCAGUCUGGAAUCCAAAUCUGGAGCAACAUGCUUUUGCUUGCAAUGUCUUCUCUUCAAAGUAGGAAAUGAAAUUUUAAAAACAAGUGAACUAAUCAAAGGUGGGAUUUACUUGUCUGCUUUCAAACUAACAGAUAAUAAUGAUUCCUUCCCUCAGACGGCAUUUGAAAAAUUGCAUACAAUUAAAAAGACCAUGUAUUUACCACUUUUGUACUUUAUCUAAUAGUUAAUGCCAAAAGGUAUUAGAUCUGAUAACAAUGACUAUUACUGUACUAUUUUGUAAUAUUCACUGCACAUUCAGUAUUUUACUAGUUGGAAAUAUUAAUAGUAUUAAUAGUAUUAAAAGCAUGGUUCCUACCUUGAUGGAGUUCACCUGAUUGGAGAAAAAAGGUAUUAUUUGCUGGUAGAUGUGUGAUUAUUUACAAUGACUCAUAUUACUCAUAUUCUCUAUUCUGAGCUCUGCCACCCUACUCUAGGUAGCCCUAAGCAAAUUAUUUAAAUCUCCCCAAUGCCUCAGUUUUCUCAUCUGUAAAAUAGAACUUUGGGAGGUAAUGAGGGUUAAAUGAGGUCUUGAGAGUGGGCCCCUGGUCCUAUGGGAUUACUGCCCUUAUAAGAAGAGACACUACUCUCUUUACUUGCGCAUACACCAAGGAAAGGCCACGCGUGCACACAGUGGCCUUCCUCAGCUAUUCAGUGAGAAUUAAUUAAUGUUUGAGAUCUUCAGAUAAAAAGACUCUCUGGAUGUGCAGAGGGCUAUUACACAAACAAUAAAACUGCAUUUAUACACCACUUGGCAUGAUUCAUACAAAAAGAAACAAAUUCCUGCAAGCUCUGCGUUCUGUCAAGACCAGGAUAUACAUCUGUCCAUUGGUGGUGUUAAGCCUUAGACUCUGUCCAACAGAAAUAUAACAUAACUCACAUAUGUAAUCUUAAAUUUUCAAGUUACCAAAUUAAAAAAGGAACA